UGCAAGUCGAACGAUGAACCUUAGCUUGCUAAGGGGAUUAGUGGCGAACGGGUGAGUAAUAUAUCGGAACGUACCUUGUAAUGGGGGAUAACUAGUCGAAAGAUUAGCUAAUACCGCAUACGCCCUGAGGGGGAAAGUAGGGGAUCUUCGGACCUUACGUUAUAAGAGCGGCCGAUAUCUGAUUAGCUAGUUGGUGGGGUAAUGGCCUACCAAGGCGACGAUCAGUAGCUGGUCUGAGAGGACGACCAGCCACACUGGAACUGAGACACGGUCCAGACUCCUACGGGAGGCAGCAGUGGGGAAUUUUGGACAAUGGGCGCAAGCCUGAUCCAGCCAUUCCGCGUGAGUGAAGAAGGCCUUCGGGUUGUAAAGCUCUUUCGCAAGGGAAGAAAACUUACAUUCUAAUAAAGUGUGAGGCUGACGGUACCUUGAUAAGAAGCACCGGCUAACUACGUGCCAGCAGCCGCGGUAAUACGUAGGGUGCGAGCGUUAAUCGGAAUUACUGGGCGUAAAGCGUGCGCAGGCGGUUUUGUAAGUCAGAUGUGAAAUCCCCGAGCUCAACUUGGGAACUGCGUUUGAAACUACAAGACUAGAAUAUGUCAGAGGGGGGUAGAAUUCCACGUGUAGCAGUGAAAUGCGUAGAGAUGUGGAGGAAUACCAAUGGCGAAGGCAGCCCCCUGGGAUAAUAUUGACGCUCAUG
rnacentral:rRNA from 1 species